CCAAAGUGCAAAACUGCCAACUUCUCUAAUCCAAGCCAGGUGAGAACUUCAGGUUUUCCCUUCAUUCCUAAUAAGGGCUUUGAGACAAUGAAAAGUUUCGUUCCCUGUAGUCAUGGCAGACCACUGAGCUACUGCUAAGCAAACACAGGAACGUGUGCAUCAGUCUCAUUUUUACCACCUGGCACAUGUGAAAAGCAAGCAUCAAUCCUUGCUUAUCACAGGAACAACUGGAGCAUGUAUGGCAAGAAUAUAUUGGUGUCCUUUUAGGAAAUACCUCUUUAGCUGAAAAAGGAUUGACCUGUGGUGGACUCCACUGUGUUUACUGCCAAUUUGGGAUGAUGCAUUGCUGCACAGUGCUACCAAUAAAUGGGAGGUUUGAGGUAGCAGGAAAAGAACAGACCGCAAUACACUGCAGGUGCAGCUUAUGGUGCAAAGGCCAUAGAACGUGCAGCAUCUGAUGCGUGACCAUCCUAGACACACCUGUGCACGUGCAAUCCCAAGGCCAGAUCCUGAGCUGCAAUCAGCUCCACUGCCAGGACUACACCAGUGGACGGUGGCUCGAGGGCAUCAGAGUGGAUAGGUGAGGUUCAAAGCAAGGGAGGCUUCAACUUCAAGCACACGACUCUGCUACUGAUUUACCUGAGCUCAGACUUUUUCAAAAGUUGUCUACGCACCUCAGCAACUGAGUCUAGUAAAAGCCAAGAUGAGCUGAAUUUCGGUGUGUGUUCUUCCCUCUGAAGAUUAAGACACCUGGGUAUAAUUUUGCACUAGGUGCAGUAGAAGUAAAGUGUAUAGGUUGUGUUCUCUAAUGUCGUGGUGUAUAGUAAGAAUAGCUUGAACUCUGUUACUUGGUAUUUAAGUCAGGAGGAGAGCAGGAUCUGGCCCUUUAGACUUGAUUUGCAAUGUGGGUGCUAUUAAAGUUUUACUUGAAAAAAGAUGAACUACAAUCUGUCAUUUAAUCUGAAGAGUCCCUGCAGCACUGAGAUUCAGAUAAGAACCAAUUAAUG
rnacentral:lncRNA from 1 species